rnacentral:rRNA from 1 species
UACGUAGGGUGCGAGCGUUAAUCGGAAUUACUGGGCGUAAAGGGUGCGUAGGCGGUCGGGUAAGUCUGGCGUGAAAUCUCCAAGCCUAACUUGGAAACUGCGUUGGAUACUAUCCGGCUCGAGGAAUGGAGGGGAGACUGGAAUACUUGGUGUAGCAGUGAAAUGCGUAGAUAUCAAGUGGAACACCAGUGGCGAAGGCGAGUCUCUGGACAUUUCCUGACGCUGAGGCACGAAAGCCAGGGGAGCAAACGGG